GUCUAUACCACUACACCACACAGACUACUGGGAAGACCUGGUGGAAAAUAAGAGAACCAAGGUUUACAAAAACAGUUUUAAACUACAUUAUCCAGGUAAAGUCAUUACCCAUAAAGCCACACACUUCCUUCAGACUCACAACCAAUAGAUAGGCAGUUUUGAGACAGACAGGUAUAGUUACCAAUUAUACAGAACCUCCUUAUUUUAGCUCCACCCCUAAUUUAACCUAGAUCCCACCCCAGAGCUUAUUUAAGGAUAUGGAUGGGAACAAAAAGCGUAUGUCCUCUGAAGAAGCAGGAUUCCCUGCGAAACGUUAGGACGUCGAACUCAAAAAGCACCGUGAACUGCACAUCAAAAAGAUACUGUUUGACGGGGAAAACAUUGCCAAUUUUUGUGUCCUGUUUUACACAAAAAAAUUUUUUAAUGGAGAAAAAUCCUUUUUAAACCGUUUUGUGAGUACUCACAUUUUUAAACCCUUCCUUUUUUUUGGGUUUUUAUUCCCCCCUCCUUUUUUUUCGGUUUUAUUCCCCCUUCUUUUUGGAGUACAACACCCAAGCCAGAGGGGCCUACAAAACUUCCUGUUUGGUGAACUCCUAGGCCGCUUAGGCCUUCUGGUAAGGAACUGAGUUGUUAAUCAGCUACAGGAUCCUUUUCCCAAGGAUUCUUAUCAGCAUACUCAUGGGAGUCCGAGUAAAGACGACACAAACCUUGUGGCAAGUUCUCCACAGAUGCAUUUAUCGAAAAGCAAUGGAACACCUCGGCCUUUAAACAACAACUCCGAUAAGACCAAGGGGGAGCCGACCCAGGGGGAUAGGAAGCAGGAGAGGAAGGAGGUGAUGAAUGGGUCUACAGAAAGGAAGACCAUGUCCUUGAGAAAAGCCCGAUCUGAAUCCUCCCUUUCCCUUUCCCCUUCCUCUUUCUCGUUGACUCCCCUGCAUGUGGAACAUCCGGACAGGGUGGAGCCCCAAAUAAAAACCUGUGAAGUGAGGAACCAUUGGGUUCCUACUAGACAUCCUAACACCACUAGAAAGAUUGCAGAUUGGACACUGGAAGUAAAGAAACCAGUUUUGUUUAUAGGGGACUCCAACCUGUCCAGAAUUCCCUAUUUUAGUGACGAAAAUGUUCAGGUGGAUAGUUACCCUGGAGCCAACUUUUUACAUAUAGCCAAGGUGUUACAAAAAUUAACCCCUAAUCCAAACACUCAAAAAGUCGUCCUAUCAUUAGGAAUCAAUAAUAGAGAACAAACAUUCGAAAGUACAACAAAAAAACAGUUGCAAGAGCUGUGGAGAAUUGCUGCAGUGGUUUUUCCCAAUGCCACGAUCUACACCCCAUUAUUAAACUACUCGGAUAUCCUACCUAGACGACAACAAGAAACUCUAACAAAACUGAACACUCAUAUACU